UACGUAGGUGGCAAGCGUUGUCCGGAUUUACUGGGUGUAAAGGGUGCGCAGGCGGACCUUUAAGUAGAAAGUGAAAGGUUGGAGCUCAACUCCGACACUGCUUCCUAUACUGGGGGUCUUGAGUUUCGGAGGGGGAAGCGGAACGACACGUGUAGCGGUGAAAUGCGUUGAUAUGUGUCGGAACACCAAUGGCGAAAGCAGCUUCCUGGACGAAUACUGACGCUCAGGCACGAAAGCCAAGGUAGCAAACAGG
rnacentral:rRNA from 1 species